rnacentral:rRNA from 1 species
CAAUUCCUACGGGGGGCAGCAGUGAGGAAUAUUGGUCAAUGGGCGAGAGCCUGAACCAGCCACGUCGCGUGAAGGAUGACGGCCCUACGGGUUGUAAACUUCUUUUGUCAGGGAGCAAUUGGGUCCACGUGUGGGCUUAGCGAGAGUACCUGAAGAAAAAGCAUCGGCUAACUCCGUGCCAGCAGCCGCGGUAAUACGGAGGAUGCGAGCGUUAUCCGGAUUUAUUGGGUUUAAAGGGUGCGUAGGCGGAAUAUUAAGUCAGCGGUAAAAAUUCGGG